rnacentral:tRNA from 1 species
UCGGCAAUAGUUUAGUGGCUAGAAUUUCCGCCUGUCAAGCGCGGGGGACCGGGGUUCAAUUCCCCGUUGCCGAG